rfam:Triticum aestivum genome assembly, contig: Triticum_aestivum_CS42_TGACv1_scaffold_343058_4DL
GAAACACUCCCUCCGUCCGAUAAAACUUGUCCCUUAAAUGGAUGUAUCUAGCACGAAGUUAAUGCUAGAUACAUCCAUUUGAGAGACAAGCUUUUUCAGACGGAGGGAGUAUAAG